CCUACGGGUGGCAGCAGUCGAGAAUCAUUCACAAUGGGGGAAACCCUGAUGGUGCGACGCCGCGUGGGGGAAUGAAGGUCUUCGGAUUGUAAACCCCUGUCAUGUGGGAGCAAAUUAAAAAGAUAGUACCACAAGAGGAAGAGACGGCUAACUCUGUGCCAGCAGCCGCGGUAAUACAGCGGUCUCAAGCGUUGUUCGGAAUCACUGGGCGUAAGGCGUGCGUAGGCUGUUUCGUAAGUCUUGUGUGAAAGGCGCGGGCUCAACCCGCGGACGGCACAUGAUACUGCGAGACUAGAGUAAUGGAGGGGGAACCGGAAUUCGCGGUGGAGCAGUGAAAUGCGUAGAUAUCGAGAGGAACACUCGUGGCGAAGGCGGGUUCCUGGACAUUAACUGACGCUGAGGCACGAAGGCCAGGGGAGCGAAAGGGAUUAGAUACCCUGGUAGUC
rnacentral:rRNA from 1 species